ACACACACUACACAAUACACACUACACAACACACACUACACACCACACAACACACACUACACAACACACACUACACAAUACACACUACACAGCACACACUACACAAUACACACCACACAACACACACUACACAAUACACACCAUACAACACACUACAACACCACACAAUACACACUACACAACACACACUACACAGCACACACUACACAGCACACACUACACAAUACACACUACACACCACACACUACACAAUACACACCACACACACACACACUACACAGCACACACUACACAAUACACACUACACAAUACACACCACACAACACACACUACACAGCACACACUACACAAUACACACCAUACAACACACACUACACAAUACACAAUACACACUACACAGCACACACUACACACUACACAAUACACACCACACAACACACACUACACAACACACACUACACAAUACACAAUACACACUACACACCACACACUACACACCACACAAUACACACCACACACUACACACUACACACACUACACACACGAUACACAUUACACACUACACAAUACACACUACACA
ensembl:lncRNA